GCUUUAUAAUUGAAAUUCUUUCUAAAAACUUUCAUGCCCUUCUUCAAGCUCCUUCUUUCUCUCUCUAAAUGCCUAGCUAGUGAGAGAAAGUAUAGAAGUAAGAUUUAUCAAGGGUUUUGAAGUGAGAGAGUGAAAGAGCAUAAGGGUUCUAUGCAAAAGUGCACAAAAGCUUGAAAAUUUGAGCUAUUUCAAGAGAGGUUAUGGAGGUUUCAUAUCAAGCUUCCAUGGAGGAUGAAGAAACAUGAAAGGGCAGAAGGAAGGAGAAG
rnacentral:lncRNA from 1 species